AUCUUUGGUCACUCACACCAGAGAGGAAGCGAGAGGGUUCAUUCCCGUCAAAAUCUGUCCGCGGGAAUACAGCGAUAAACCGACUACAUUCCCCGCCUUUGGGACAACGACUUCCAUUGUUAGGGCGGAGACCAAACCAUCUCGUCUUUAUAUACAGUAUCUGCGCUCACAUUCACGCAGCUCUUUUGGUGAAGGUAACCCGUAGGUUACUCUGGUUGUUUAUUUGUUCUCUUCAUUCACAAUGUCUACACCAAGUUCACCCAGCUUUGGUUCAGCUGUGUGGCACAGCUUCGACAGAAUAGAAGCGGCACUGGCAAAAUGUAAACACUGCGACCGGAAUAUCAGAUGUAAAGGAGGUAGCACCAGUGGCAUGAAAAGGCAUUUAGAGUCUCGGCAUCAGGUAAACUGGACCUCCGAAAAGGACUAACGUUACCAGAACAAAUUUGAGACAUCCGUCUUUUCUGACGCUGUGCUGGUAACCAGACAAAAGCAAUGGAGCUAUAGAUAUUGGAGCGCCCAAGAGACCGCAGUCGUUGAAGUACAGCAAAAGAGAAUCUGCAAUAAAGGAAGAGAAGACCCUGUCCAAGAAGAGCACACAUGAGGAUGAGGAUGAGGAGCCACACCCUAAAAGAGGGAUUUCAAAGCAAGAACCCAAUACUUCAGAGGUAGCCUUGACAGAAGGUGGGGCUCCAGAGCAGUUUGAGUUUCAGUAUGGACUUGAGGGACCAGCAUUUGAGAAUGGGGAGUCCUCAAAGAGCCAUCUGUCCAUCAUCAAAGUAGAACAACUGGACUCCCUCCUCCCAGACCAAACAGACUCCAGCUGUGGUUCAGGGUCACCUGGGGAUUCGGGGCCUCCUGGCUCAUCUGGUUCUGGGUCCAAUACUAGUCUGGCUUCACAGUUUUUCAAGAAGUGCCACCAGGCAGGCUGCACACAAUUCAUCUUCUCGGAGUUCGCCUCCCGCCUCAGCAUCAUCACUGAGAGGAUUGCAUCCCAGCAGGCCAGCGAGGAAGAUUUCAACCUCACCCUGAAAGUGCUGGAGGCCUCUGGGAUGCUGCCAGAGAUCUUUACCAAAAGAGAUCAAGAAAUGGAGAAGAGACUGAGGGAGCUACAGAGAGAGACUGUAGCGGUGAGGACUGCUAGGUCUGCCAUGAGAGAUGCUUGCGUCAUGAGCUUCACCUCAUCAUGACAGAGCACCGCUGAAGAUCAAAGCAGUUUUAUAAGGUGUUAUAACCAGGGCCUGGGUUUUCUGACAACUUGACUGAACUCGGAAGGUAUAGGACCUGGAGUUUUCCCUGGUCAAAUCCCCUCGUCAGGAAAAACAGGUCCUCCUUUUAACCAAAAUGUAAAUAUUUCCUUUUGUAUUUGACAUAUUUUUCUACCCGUGUUCAAACUUGAACUCUGUGAUAUUUGAACUCUGACAUUUGAAUGCAGUUUUUCACCCUGUCCACUAACUUGAGUGGUAUGUUAUACCUUAAAUUGGUAAUAAUCUUUUGACAGACAUUGGUUCUGAGGUUAUUGGUGAUGUUUUGAUGUUAGUAGGUGAUCCUUAGUCUACCCCUCUGUACUGUAUGUUAUAUGCUCACUAACCCUUAACAGACUUACUAUAUCAUAAUAUACUGAAUGUGCAAAUUAGUCAACAUUUUUUGACGGUUACUAUGUCCACUAGUACUAUAAGAUAAAUUUAGAAUACACUAAUAUAGUAAAGUUGAGACCUGUGACGUUCUGAGAAUGAAUUAAACUUGUUAUGUAAAUGGUGUGAUUAUUUCAGAUUAAAAAAUGUCCUGGACUUGA